ensembl:snRNA U6 U6 spliceosomal RNA
UCUUUGCACUCGUUAAUAUGGAACAUGAAGAAUAGAUUCCAUUUUGAUACAGAAAUUAGCAUGGCCCCUGCCCAAGGAUGAUAUGCAAACUUUUGAAGCAUUCCAUAUUUUU